AAGUGGGAAGAACUGUCUAUGGUUUUGGAUUGGAUAUGGUGUCAAGCCUAUGAGUGUGUUCUUUAACAAGGCCCAUCAAAGAAGGAUUCUCCCUAGGCGCUUUGCGCUCUCCAGAUCUCUAACAGUUUGCUUAUCUAAUGUAGUUUGUUUGCAAUGGGUUUAUAAAUGUUAUAGUUUUGGUUUAUCGGCAUUUCUUAUUCCCAAUUUUGUUUGGUUACGACAUCCCUUACAGCUACUUGUUCUACUUUCUGUCUUUGAUCAGUCGUCUCAUCUUUUCCACAAAUUUAGAAUUUAAUUUUUCCCUUCAUGGUUACUUUCCCCAUUUGCUUUGCUUAAUUUCUUUAUCCCUUUGCUCUAUAACCCAUGAGUUAUGAAAUUGUUUAAUUUUCACUCAGCUAGCCACAAUUGUUUAUCUAUCAACUGAUUCUAUAUAUUUUCUGAUAAAUUCUUGCUAAUGUUUCUGCACUAGUUGUUGAAUAUUAAUGUAUAAGGAA
rnacentral:misc_RNA from 1 species